GUUUUGUCAGCUGUGUUAAAUGUAAUAAAUGGUAAUAAUUAGUAGUUAGUAAUUCUACAGUAACAGCACUUACAAAUUUCAUGAUUAAGUUUAUUUUGUUUAUAAUGAUUAUAAUGGAGCAGGGUAACAAAACCCCCAAAAAUUUCCAUAGCAGAAUAUUUUUUCGGACUAUUAUGACUAUUCAAGCCAUCUUAUGAUUAAAUUAAUAUCAUAACAUCACUGAUGUUAUAUCACUUUAUAAUAAUGUUUUAGUCUCAGGAUGUCAGCAGUUGUCACUAUUUAUCAAUUAUUAUACAAUUGUUUUCAAUGCUGCUACAGAAACAUACUUUUUAAUUGUUAAUAUUUUAAACAACUAUUUUAAAUAUUAAUAUUUAAUUAAUUAAAAUAUCCCUGCUAUGUUAAAGACUCCAUAUUUAAAAACUGUAUUAUUAUGAAGAUCAUCAUCAUCAUUUAAUGCAUUUUCCAGAUUUUAGCAAUUGUAGAAAAACCUUUAAAUGCUGAUGUAUGAGACUGUUCAAAUCAAUAAACAAACAAAUGCAUACGAUAUGGAAGCUUUUUUGACGUAUAAAAUAUUUUCUUCAUUUCGAUGUAACCUUUCAUUCACUUUCAUCAUCAUUUAUCCGCCUUCAGUGCCUAUGGUUGGAUUUAUAAAGAGUUUGCUCCCUGACGCUAGAUGGCACUCAAGCCUUUCAAUACAAUGAAUUUAAACCUGCACUCGAAACAAAGGAGAAAGAAGUGUUUUUGCCUACUUCUUUAUUUACAGUGAUUGACCUCGAACUACAUGAACGUUUAAAGGCACGUGAAGCCCACAUCAGCUUCAUUGUUGUGAGAAACCUGGGCAGUGUGCUGUCCUUAGAAGAUCUGGUCGUUUCGUGUAUCACCUGAAAAAGUACUACCAGAAACCCACCAUUCUCAGACAGAGCCUUGUGUCUGUGAGGGAGCACUGCUUGGCCAGUAUAUCCAUGCCUCGGAUUAGCUGUGGGCUGGAUGAACUGUAAUGGAAAAAUGUGUCUUCCAUUAUCUCAGAAGUCUUCUAGAACACAAAAAUCUCCAUCACUGAGUACACAAUCUAGACCACGGCAGGUCUGAAACUCACAUUAUUUCUUAACCC